CCUAGAGCCAGGAUCUCCAUUCCAGGCCUUGGAGUUUUAGAGCCUUCACACAAUGUGGCCAGCCUCUUCCCCAGAGAACCCCGGAUUCUUAGGGAAGCUAAAUCUUUUUACAUUAGUGAAACUUACAGACUCAAACUUUUAGGUGGCCGGGUCCUAAAUAAUUCUAUUCAGUACAUAAAGUGUCAAGUGGUCAUUGGGCCUUUGCUUUAUUACCUCCAGUAACAUGAGGCAAGCCCAGUUUACUUUUGGAUAACUAAUGUUAGGAAGUUUUUUACAUCAAGCCAACAUCUUCUACUCGGCACUUCAACCAUUGGUCCCGAUUCUGCCCUCUCUGGUUCCGAGCAUAACAGGAAGCUUUCAUUAGUUGCAUAAAACAGGCAGAUAAAGAGUUCUCUCCAAGUGUGGGACACUGCCACAGAGAGGAUCCAGCAGAGCACAAACUGAAGGGGGCUCUUCCAGAUGCUGCUGCUCCUUGAUGCCAUCGAACUUGUGUCAUCAAGCCCAGGAAUGUUGCGGAACCACUCAAAAUCCAGCCUAGGCACUCUCGCCAGAUGGCCCAAUCGAUUAGCAACCAUUAAUAAGUGCUCUGCAAUUCUUUCUUCGAUCAAGGCAUUUAGUUUAUAUCACCAAAAGGGGAGAGACACUCAAACUUGUCAUUUCUUUUCCCAAGUGAGACCAAGAACAAAUCUUGAGAAGACACCUCGAUGGAGGUGGAAGAGGAGAAGACAUAAAAGGAUCAAAGAUAUGCCUAUCUGAAAUUCUGACAUCUCCCAUGGGGGCCACUCAAGGUCACAGAUUCUGGGAGAACCACCAUAGAAUAAUCAAGUAUCACAGUGCCCGCUAUAUUGAGAUCAUAAAACCUGAUUAAACAAACCCUGCCCUCAACUAGUUUAUGGUUCUUUUUUUUUUUUUUUUUUUUUUACUUAGUAGAAUUUUA